AACGAACGCUGGCGGCAGGCCUAACACAUGCAAGUCGAGCGCGCCCUUCGGGGUGAGCGGCGGACGGGUGAGUAACGCGUGGGAACGUGCCCUUUUCUACGGAAUAGCCUCGGGAAACUGAGAGUAAUACCGUAUACGCCCUUUGGGGGAAAGAUUUAUCGGAAAAGGAUCGGCCCGCGUUGGAUUAGGUAGUUGGUGGGGUAAUGGCCUACCAAGCCGACGAUCCAUAGCUGGUUUGAGAGGAUGAUCGGCCACACUGGGACUGAGACACGGCCCAGACUCCUACGGGAGGCAGCAGUGGGGAAUCUUAGACAAUGGGGGCAACCCUGAUCGAGCCAUGCCGCGUGAGUGAUGAAGGCCUUAGGGUUGUAAAGCUCUUUCAGCUGGGAAGAUAAUGACGGUACCAGCAGAAGAAGCCCCGGCUAACUCCGUG
rnacentral:rRNA from 1 species